CACGCCUCCCGGUCUCCCGCCCCGGUUCCCCGCGGGCUGCUGUGCGUAGAACAGCGCGGUCCUAGGCAGGGCUGGUGACCCAGGAGCCGCAGGUUUUAUUGGUCGGGAAUCAACUGGGGCGUGAUGAAUGGAGGUAAAUAACCGCCGAGCAACCGGAAUCGUCCGACUCACGUCAUUAAUUAGCAACUAAUUUCAGAGUUGUCUCGGAUGGUUGAUGUCCGGAAAGCCACGUGCCAAUUGACCAGGGGUGGCAAGAUUAGAAAGAUGUAGAGAUCCAGGACACAGCCUGGGUAUGUGAUCGCCCACACAGCUGUGGUCUGCAAGUGAAAAGCCAGUCGCCUGCAAAGUUAAACCAGGCUCUCUGUCGUCACUCAUCACACUACUCCCACCUCCUUCCAUUCCGCUUGCUGAAGUCACAGAGAGAGGAAUUCCUCAUUGCCCUGGCCUUCGAAUUGCUGCAAGUGUGGAGCGUGAGGUGAUGGUACACACCUGUAAUCCCAGCACUUGGAGGUGGAGGUGGAGAUGGGAGGAUUUGGAGUUGAAGGCAAACUGGGGCUACAUAACAAGAUACUGUAUCAAAACAAAUUUUGGAAUCCUGACCUUCAAAGGACUUUCACAACUCUGGUCCACCAAUGCUUUGUGUGGCACUCUGCUGGUUAUCAACUGUCACUGAAAGUUUUCCUCUUUCACAGUUUAGGAGGCCUUAUCAUCAAAAUAACUCCAGUGAGGAAAAUCCAGAUGCUCACCUUGAAGCUUGCAAUAAACCAGAGGAAUGGUUACAUAACACUCCGGAGCACUGAAGCUCUUCUGGAAAUGCAUCUUUCUUCUAUGGAGCAGCACUCAUGUCUUUGAACCCAAGCAACAUUUGCUGUGAACCAUGGAAAUGUCUCAAAAACUCCGAAGUUCCAAUAACUGAAGAGAAGCACAAAGCCUGAGAAAUGCACGUGCGUUAAAGUCCAGUGGCUCUCAAGGAUUCUAAGCGAAUAAAGAGCCCGAGGGGUUUUUCCGUAUAGCAGACUUCAGUGGGGAAAACCACUCCACUUACAAAGCAAGCCCCGAGGGGAACAGCUCACAGCUGUGUGUGUGGCUAUGCUUGUAGAACCAGGCUAUCAAUUUGGCCAAAGAUGGAAAAGGAGUCAUGAAGCUGCUUCUGGGAGUGGCAGCAGGUGCCCAUUUGUACUGUUGCCAUGAGGAGACAAUCCAGAACCCCACACCAAACCACUAAGGCGGACCCAGUGAAAGCCAAACAGUCCUAGCAGAGCUAAGCUGGAAAUGAGCCCGUGGGGCCCUUCAUGAAUCAGAGCCCAUGGAAUUCACAGGGAAUCUACAGUUCUUAACGGUAAAGAAGGACUGGGCGAUCCUUGCGUCUUUCCUAGGGUCCUUCUUACUAGCUUGCCUCCCUGGAGCUGUGGGUUGCAGUCUGGUUAUCCCUUGCUUUACAUCUAGUAUCCACUUUUGAGUGAGUACAUACUG